rnacentral:rRNA from 1 species
GACGAACGCUGGCGGCGUGCUUAAGACAUGCAAGUCGAGCGCUCCUGAAACAUCGAGGCUUCGGCCUCACCGUUUCAGGGGAGCGGCGGACGGGUGAGUAACGCGUGGGCAACCUGCCCGGGAGACUGGGAUAACACCCCGAAAGGGGUGCUAAUACCGGAUACGAUCCCCCAUCGCAUGGUGGGGGGAUGAAAGGCGAAAGUCACUCCCGGAUGGGCCCGCGUCCCAUUAGCUAGUUGGUGGGGUAACAGCCUACCAAGGCUACGAUGGGUAGCCGGCCUGAGAGGGUGGCCGGCCACACUGGGACUGAGAUACGGCCCAGACUCCUACGGGAGGCAGCAGUCGGGAAUCUUGCGCAAUGGGCGAAAGCCUGACGCAGCGACGCCGCGUGGGGAGGAAGGCUUUCGGGUGUAAACCCCUGUCUUCGGGGACGAAAUCUGACGGUACCCGAGGAGGAAGCCCCGGCUAACUACGUG